GCAUGCAUACGCUGUAGAAUUGUGCUUAGGUCAUCAGUGGGUUGUCGUAUGAGGGAUUGUGCAGAGGAAGAUGUGAUCAAAAGACAAAAUAAGAGAAAAACAACAUAAAUGAUGUUUGUGUAGUGACUCUUCAUCUUUUGAGAUUGUAUAUAUGAAUGGGAAGUGUAGAGUACAAAGACGUGUGAGACUUAUAUAGUUGAUAGGAGGGAUAGGUGCCUCUGUCAAUGCUAAUAUAUUUAUGAAAUUAUUACAUCAUACAUGUUGUUACGUUUUUUUUUGAAAUAUAUUGUAAUAUUUUUAAAGCAGGAAACUGCAUGUAUAUUCGUGUCUAUAUACACGCGAAUGCAUGCAUGAAAAAGAGAGAUAUCAUAUGAUAAUAUACUAUUUUUUACACAAAAAAAGUUUUCCAAUUGUUUUUUUUUUUUUUGCUAAAUAAGUUUUCCAAUUGUUGCUAUUUAUUGGAAAAUAAUUGUUAUCUAUUUAAUUUAUUAAAUAAAAAUGAAUGCCAUCAUGCACACAGUUAAUACACACGUAAAAUACAGUUGCUGAUCCAUCCAUACGCGUGCAUCUAUAAUAUUCUCACGCUGAUUACUGCAAACGCGUGUAUAUUAUUGACAAAAUGGGCAUGCAAUCGCAUGCACAAAAUUACAAUGUAACUUCUUACCGGAGUUUUCUGAAUGUUUAAAUCGCCACAACAGUUUUUUUUGUACAAGAUUCGCCACAACAGUUACUCUCUCUCUAUUUCAUAAUAUAUGAUAAUAUAUGAUGUAAUAGAUAAAACCAGGGACGGAUCUACAAUGUAAGCUACGGGGGGCCAGGGGAGAAUCCAGGAUAUAUAAUUACUGGGUGCACUCUUUAUAGUAAAAUAGAAACAGGUCAAAAAGUAGAAUCGAACCUUGGUUGAUACAGAUGCUUAUUUACACGAAAAUUACAUUAUCAAUUAAUAUUGCGGGGGCACAGGCCCCCAUAAUGGGUAACCUGGCUUUGUCCCGAGGGGAGGCGCAUGCCCCCGACUACUUUUAUAACUUUUGUCAGUUAGAUUUUUUUCUGGUAGCUUCGUUGGUAAAAGUGUCCCGUCUGGUUCCAGUGUUGAGAGUUCGAUCAACUCACAAAUUAUUUUAUGUGCAUUUAAUGUUUUAUGUGGCAAUUGACACGCUUCAGUUUUAUUCUUCUUACCUUUUUCCAGACUUAUUUCAUUUCUUAUCUUUCUUUUUUAUAUAUAUUUUUUAAUAAAAUGGCUUAUUUCUUUUUUCUUUUGAAUUGGCUUUCAUAUUUCGUUAUUUCUUUCCAUUAUAUUUUUAUCUUUAAGUUUACUUUUUUUCCAAACGACGUAUAGAGAUCCAUUGUCUUUAAAAUCCAUAUUAUGAGUUGCUAGUAAAUAAAACAUUAGUUAAUUUUAAAAUAGUAAACAAUCUAUUCAUUUUUUAUUAACACUUUAGAAUUUAAUUCCUUGUGAUAUGAUAAGUAAAAUUAUGUAGUAUAAAUUGACAUAAUAUUAUAUAGACUUCUUUUUCUAUACAUUUAAAAUUAAUUUUAUUUAAAUUGUGUUGUUAUGAUUAAUAAUAUUAUGUAGUAUAAAUUUACAUAAUAUUAUAUAGACUUCUUUUUCUAUACAUUUAAAUUAAUUUUAUUUAAAGUGUGUUGUUAUGAUUAAUAAUAUUAGAAAAGUUUAAUAUAUAUAUAUAUAUAUAUAUAUAAUAUAACUUAAUGAGUCAAAUAAAAUUAUAGUUUAUAAUAAUCUUUCUUAUACUAUAUAUUAUAUAGACUUCUUGUUCUAUACAUUUAAAAUUAAUUUUAUUUACAUUAAUGUGUUGUUAUGGUUACAUUACUAAUUUUAUUUUUUUAUGAUUACUCAUAGUAGUAAUUUUUUUUGUCAGCAAUAAAAAAGUUUUAAAAUUAUAUUUAUAAUAAAUAUAAUUUUUUGAGGCAAAUAAUAUUAUAAUUUAUAAUAAUUCUACUAAUAAUAUAUUAUUUAUUUUAAUAUAAAAUUUGUGCUCCCGUCAGAUGAUUUGUCUGGAUCCGUCAGAUGAUUUAUAAUAAUUUGUUCCCAUAAAUAUUGAAUUUUUUAAUUUAAUGUAACAAAAAGCUAUUAAAAAUAUAAAUUAAAAAUAAUUCAACCAGUCAUUAAAAUAUACUAAAAAUAUGAUUAAUUAAACAUUUUCUAAUAAAGUUAAAGUUGUAUAAAUAUGUUAAAAACAUCUUAUAUUCUGAAAUAUCAUGUAUAUGAAACGGAAUGAAUAUAAUAAAAUUUCAAAAAAUAAUAAUUUUAAUAAUGAAUUCUGAUAUUAAUUUUUAUAGUAAAAAUCUAUAGUAUUGUCUACGGUUAUUUCUUCCUAAUCACAGUGGAUGCUGGAGUUGGAUUGGUUAAUUGAUGUUUUGGAUUAUAUAUAUAUAUAUAUAUAUAUAUAUAUAUAUAUAUAUAUAUAUAUAUAUAUAUAUAUAUAUAUAUCUGAUUUUUGUAUUAAUAAAAAACCUGUAUAAAAGUUUUAAAACAUACUCCUUUAUCGUGUUAAAAAAAAAACACACUCCUGUAUUUGUUGCACUGUAGAAUUUCGAUCGUUACGUAAUUUAUUUAUGGAUUUAUCCACCAUUAAUUUUUUUUUAUAUCAUGUCCUUAUGAAUUUUAACCAUGAUAUAAAUUAUAUUUUAGAGUUUUUAUUAUGUGUCGAAUCGUUUUCGAGUCUUUAUAAGUUCAUGUACAUUUUGGACAAGAUUGGAAAUUCUAACUCAAUUUGGAGCAUACUGAAAAUUAGAGCUGAAAAAGUGAUCUUGGUGUCAAACUUUCAAUCUGGUGUCAAUCUAAUACCCAUCCUGACCAAGAGUCCUGACAAGUUUUUACAAGUUUCAAAGAAUUGCAAUUUGGCCUGAAAAUUUUUAGUAUUUGCAAGAAAGUCUCUAACGAGUUUUAGACAUAUUUAAUUAUUCUGAAGUCAUUGUUUAGGCUAUACUUUUAUCUUAGAGAGAUUUGAAGAGACAAGUUAAAACUCCUUCAUUGUAUCUCUUAGUUUGAUUUAUUAAUGCAACUUAUUAAGAUUUGUGUUACAUUGAUCAUGUUUAAAUAAACCACAUAUUAGAUUUAAGGUUCUUCAAAAAUUGAUGAAAUAUUAUAUUGACUUGUUAGGGUUAUCUUUUAUUCUUCAUUUUGAUUGUUCUUAAUGCUAUAUUUGGAUUGACAACCUGAAAUAUAGAUCUUAGGAUAAUUGGUAGAUACGAAAGCAUUAUUGAUUUACCUGAACUAAUAUUUGGUGAUGAGCUAAAUACUUAUAUGCAAAAAAAAAUUGGUUUAGGGAUUUAGUGAACUUAUCAAAUCUUGUCUUAAUCAUUCUCUUAACUGAUUGAAUUCACAAAUUGAUUUGGAAUUCUAGGAUCUAUGCAUAGAUUAUCUCUCAAACGAAAGUUGAUUGAUUUGAUUGAUGUGAUUUGAAAUUUAGAAUUGUUUUUCAUAAACACUUGGCAAUUGUUUGUUCUACAAUUCUCAUUUAGCUGUCAAUUUCCCUAAGAUUAACACUUUUCUCAAUCACUUACAAACCAUUUUAUUUAAAGGUAUUAACUAGCUUUCUAUUUACUUGUCUAGCAUAAUUUGAUAACUAAAAUCUAUUGUGUGAUCUAAGUCCAUGUGUAUAUGAUUCCCAAGUACUACAUUGCACCUCUAAAACUGUAGAGUUGCUCAUUAGAAUUAAUUUGAGCACAUCAUUUUUUACAAAUCAAAUGAAGCUAUUUACUAUCGUGUUUGCACACACAACAUGCUUUUGUAAUAUUUAAAAUUCCACGUUUGAAAAUUGUUUUUUUUAGUGGCGAGAAAUUUGAUGAGAUAUGAUUUUUGAAGUUGUUUCAAGUAUCUCAAAUGAAAAAAAAAAUUGACUAAAAACUUUCAAAUUAAAAUAACAUAAACGUUUACAUGCUAAGAGCAUGAUUAUCGCAUCCUUUUUAGCGUCUCUAAAGCGGUGGGGGCCGAGGUUUUAGAAAAAACCGUAUGCAAAGUGGGCAGAAUAAGAGACAUCUGCUGUGUGUUUUUUGUACUGUUUGCGGGUCCAACCGACACGUAGUAGUCCUUGAUUGGUCCACUUUUUAAUUUUUUUUUUAGUCAGAAAAAAACUAAAAAAGAGAAAAGAAAAAGAAACCCUUUAUAUGGUAUAUGAGAUAAAGAUGCUCUAAGGUAAAAUAACCUUAUAGUAAGGAGAAGCUUGCUCAAAAAAUCUUCAUGGUAAAAGAAAUUCUCAACCUAAGAGUUAACUUAGGCAAAGGCCAGAAGAAACCAGCAUUGCAAUGUAAACCAUAGCUAGUUAAAAGAAACACGUAUCACACUGGCCAUGCUUCCCUCUCCCUCUCACAGUCUUCCAUUUUAUGUAUUGGUAAUUGAUAGAUUUUUUAUGCUUAAAUAAUAUAUAAAACAAUUACAUUAGGUUGAAUAUAUAGUUUUAUGCGACUCUAACAAACCAAAACACAAAUACAUAUCUAGAAAAUUUUAUAGACAUAAUUUUUAGGAGCGGAAAAUGAAAACCAUAGAAUGAAAACCUGCAAAAACAAAAAGUGAGAAAUACAUUAGAAAAAAAAGAUGAGAAAUUGAUCUAAGGAUUUGAUGUUUUUAAGUUCAAAAAGAUUAAACAAAGGCUGUAGAGUUUUAUAGUGAAAAAAAUUACAUUUUUAAUCAUCAUCUGAGAGAAAGAGAAAAAAUGUGUAAAUUUUUUUUAUAUAAGAAGACAAUAAUUUCAAUUAGUUUAAAAAAAUUGAUAGUGAAUACUUUGCAAAAGUCUUCACUGCUAGAAGACUUUUGAUCCGAAGAAGUUUGCAAGUGAAUAACUUCUUGGUAAACUUUUUAAGGAGUCUUCUAACUCUAAACCCUAAAAUCAAAUAUUUUAACUAGAUAGUAAUAAACACUUUAUAGAACAUAAAAUCAAUUUCUAAAUAAAAUUAAACCCUUAUACGUCAAAUUUUAUUUUUAAAAAAUAUUAUUCUAAAAUCUAACCCUAAAGUAUCAGUGUUACUUGAACAUAUGUUACCAAAUCAUAACUAAUGGACAAUCAUGAACUAUAUUCAUUCAUCUAUAUGGAAAACAAUUAAAUUUUAUUAAAUUUAAAUUUGCAUGAUUUAGAAUUUUUUUUUUGUCAUCAACUUUACAGGCUCAUAUUGAUUUUGUGAACUACACUGGAAGAUCUUGAUCCAUGUGAACUACAAAAGAUGUUUCCUUCCUAGCACUGCGGGCUAAGCGAUUAAAAAUUUUUAUAUUUAUAUGAUUUUAAUUGACUUUUCAUCAAUUUUUAUAAUUUCAUAAAUUAAUUUUAUGUUUAAAUACAUGAGUAGACUUAUCAAAAAAUCUUCUCAAAGUGAGUGGACUUCUCGAUAAGUCUUCUCGAAUAAGACUUCAUAGUUUAAAAAAUAUAUUUGACCACUAUAAUCGUAAAAGUGUUUACAAGAGAAUAUAAUUGUAAUUUUGCUAUUUUUAAAGUUAUUUUUUUAUUUUAUUGAAUUUAAGGUAUAAAUUUUAAUUUGAAUUGAAGUUUUGUGUUAUUUUGGCAAAUCCUCCAAAUUUCAAAUCGACUGAACAACCAAAAAUUCUAAUUUUUUUUAUUUUCUCGGAAAACAUAUAUUAUUUGUUGGAUAUUUAAAAUUAAAAUCCAUAUUUAAUUUAUGAAGAAGCACUUCAUAAAAAAUUUGGAAAAUUUACAUGCUUAAUGGAUGGAUAGAGACUGAUUAGUUAACUCAAAUAUAAAUUUAUCAACUCAAGUAUGCAAAUUGAUAUUUGCCACUAGAACAAAAAAAAUAUAUUGUAUGUUUUCAAGAAUAAUCACAUAUAUAGAACGGCUGUUAUACUGGAUAUUGAAUAGGAAUUGUUUAACAUUUUAGUAAAGCAUAUGUAAUAGGAAUGUGAUGGAAUCAAGAAGAUUUUCAUUUGUUCUUUGGCAGUGCUUUUCCUUGGUAUCCAAAGCCUAUGAUGAUUUUUUUUAUGUUUGUUAAAGGGUUUUCAUAAGCCUAUGAUGAUAUAUCGAUCUAGUUUUUUUUUUAUUGAAGAAGAAUGUACUCAAUGUAGCUUACUUGCACAUUUUAAUAUUGGCGUUUUGGCAAAACAAUAAUUUCUAUAAGUAUUGUUUUCAUUUGUUCCAUCUGUAAUGAUUUCUGUAAGCCUAUGAUGAUGUAUCUAGUUUUUUUUUUUUUUUUUUGCAUCAUUUGCUGUUGACUCGUAUUUACCCUAUGUGAGUAAAAACACCUUUUUACGCUUGAAGAUCAAGACUCGAAAAUAGUUGUUAUAUGGUCAUGAAUAACAAUUUUUUAAUUAAUCAUUGGUGCUUUGAAGAACAGUCAAUACAUUUUGAGAUUUUGAGAAAAUUAUUAUUAUUAAAUGUCCCAUAGACAAUUUUUUGGGUAAAAAUCAUUAGUCCUUUUUUUUUUUGUCAACAUAUUUUCAUUAACGAGCCCAAAAGGCUGUUUACAUGGUUUGGGACAUUACAAACAUGAUCCAUUAACAUAAAAUUCUAGAGAAGCUCUUCAAACUAAUCACAAAUGAAGUUCGGUUUCUGUCAUUUCCACGUGCCGUUUGCUGAAGAAAACAAAGACACGUGUUGAUGAGAUUUGUCUGACAUGCGAAACGGCAGCGGACGCCUUGCCUCUUCGCCGCCGGAAAUUUUCUGUGCCGAUCCUCCACUUUUGCUUCUCACCACCGUCGCUCCAUGGAAACCUCUCUGUAAUCACCAAAACCAUCUUACUCCACUUCUGCUCCAACCUUUGCUUGAGGACAUAGAACUCCAUCCACCGCAGAUUAUAACUCCAAGAUAAUACGGAUUGACCCAUAAGAGAUCUUUUGCUGGACCGUCUUGAAGACGCCGGCUCUACUAAAUCUCUAUUAAAGCCACCCGAUUGUCAAUCUAACACCACCGCUUCCUUCUCGCUAAGAAACUUUACUAAAGCCUAUCGGCGUAUAUAAGAAAGUAAAGAUUGACUCUUAUCGAAAGGGAUUAAGUGCUUAUCUUUGAAUAGAUUGAGAAUCCAUCCCAAGCAAAUGGAAUAAAACAUUUAUUUUUUGCAGAAGAGGAGAGUUUUAGAUUUUACAAGAUCCGAUCAGAGAUGAUCGGGAUUUAUUAACACAACAAAAUCGCCUCGCGAUGAUAGAUCCGACUACGCGGAAGUAUUGAUCGAUCUAUUGACCGAAGAGCAAAUCGCCUAGCGAAACUUUUAUCCGGUUAACAUAAUAGAAAUAUGAUACAAAAAAAAACAAAAGACAAAAAGGGAAUGGUAACCGGCAGCGGUAGGCCACCGGCCACCGAAACGAGUUCCUGUGUCGAGAGUUUUUUAGAGAGAAGUGGGAGA